AGCAUUCGUCUUCUGGUACGGGGCCAUAGCUCAGCUGGGAGAGCGCGUGCUUUGCAAGCAUGAGGUCGUCGGUUCGAUCCCGUCUGGCUCCACCAGAUGGUUUGAUCACCAACGGCGUUACCGUCGUCCGCGAAACAUCACUUCGCACGCAUUGGUCCGGAUGGACGGUGACGUGCGUGUUUUCUGACAUCGUAAAGAGGAGAUCGAUCCGAGUUUGGAUCCAGCGAAGCAAUUCGCGGGUACCAUUCCUAAUCUCCAGAUCGUUUUCGGCGCUCGCGCAUCGCAGCUCAUCGCAAGAUGAGUGAGGUGAGCGAGUUGUAAAACGAUCUUUGUAGCGAAGCUUGACCGCCUCGCUAUCGGGCCGAUCUUACGAAGCAAGCUGGUCUUUCUAGUCAAUGUCCGGCUGCGCAAUCGCAUUCAUCGAGGGUGCGCGCCUGAGACUUCGGUCUUUGGGCAAUUGUGCAGACAACAUUCUGCCGAGUGUGUGGACAUUGAUAAUGAGAGCAAUCAAGUGCCUUAAGGGUGUUCGGUGGAUGCCUUGGCGCUGAGAGGCGAUGAAGGACGUGCUACGCUGCGAUAAGCCGU
rnacentral:misc_RNA from 1 species